rnacentral:rRNA from 1 species
GNCCUUUCNGGCCUCUUGCCCNUCAGAUGUGCCCAGAUGGGAUUAGCUAGUAGGUGGGGUAACGGCUCACCUAGGCGACGAUCCCUAGCUGGUNUGAGNGGAUGACCAGCCACACUGGAANUGAGACACGGUCCAGACUCCUNCGGGAGGCAGCAGUGGGGAAUAUUGCACAAUGGGCGCAAGCCUGAUGCAGCCAUGCCGCGUGUAUGAAGAAGGCCUUCGGGUUGUAAAGUACUUUCAGCGGGGAGGAAGGUGUUGAGGUUAAUAACCUCAGCAAUUGACGUUACCCGCAGAAGAAGCACCGGCUAACUCCGUGCCAGCAGCCGCGGUAAUACGGAGGGUGCAAGCGUUAAUCGGAAUUACUGGGCGUAAAGCGCACGCAGGCGGUCUGUCAAGUCGGAUGUGAAAUCCCCGGGCUCAACCUGGGAACUGCAUUCGAAACUGGCAGGCUAGAGUCUUGUAGAGGGGGGUAGAAUUCCAGGUGUAGCGGUGAAAUGCGUAGAGAUCUGGAGGAAUACCGGUGGCGAAGGCGGCUCCCUGGACAAAGACUGACGCUCAGGUGCGAAAGCGUGGGGAGCAAACAGG